rnacentral:rRNA from 1 species
GUGAACGCUGGCGGUAGGCCUAACACAUGCAAGUCGAACGGCAGCACAGUAAGAGCUUGCUCUUACGGGUGGCGAGUGGCGGACGGGUGAGGAAUACAUCGGAAUCUACUUUUUCGUGGGGGAUAACGUAGGGAAACUUACGCUAAUACCGCAUACGACCUUCGGGUGAAAGCAGGGGAUCUUCGGACCUUGCGCGAUUGAAUGAGCCGAUGUCGGAUUAGCUAGUUGGCGGGGUAAAGGCCCACCAAGGCGACGAUCCGUAGCUGGUCUGAGAGGAUGAUCAGCCACACUGGAACUGAGACACGGUCCAGACUCCUACGGGAGGCAGCAGUGGGGAAUAUUGGACAAUGGGCGCAAGCCUGAUCCAGCCAUACCGCGUGGGUGAAGAAGGCCUUCGGGUUGUAAAGCCCUUUUGUUGGGAAAGAAAAGCAGCAGGUUAAUACCCCGCUGUUCUGACGGUACCCAAAGAAUAAGCACCGGCUAACUUCGUG